ncrna:unclassified sequences DTF3800-X RNA
UAGUGUUGUAAGACCCUUCUGAAAAGGAUGAUGCCACCGAUUGGUGGACGUGACGAAGUAAGGAGGGGUUCACUA